rnacentral:lncRNA from 1 species
AGUGCCACUCAGAUGAAGUAGAGUCCGGGCCAUCCCGGCUCACCAGUCAUCUCCCGAGCUUGCAAAACAUGUUCACGUUAUCUGACGAAGAAAACUUCUCCAGCAGUGGCCCUCCGCCUUUAGCUUGCAUUAGAAUCUCGCGAAGGACUUGUUAAAAGGGUAUUGAAGAACAUCACCAGCAAAAUUGCCAAUUCAGUAAUUCUAACUCCGCGCUGAAAAUGUAUGUUUCUAACAAGGGAGAUCAUCCAUUAAUGCAAAGGACCCUUCUGAAAAAAAGGAAAUAGGCUCUUUUUCUAGGAGGAUUUUGAUAGGAGAAAGUUGUGAAAAUGAAGGGAAACCUCACCAAAAUGAAGUUGGGAGGCCAGAAGAGGGAGCUCUCAUGCAGAUCCAAACCACCUGGAGCCCUCAACCACCAGACUAAGUGGAGCCUAAGGAUUGAUGAUACUGACCCUUGUGACUUCACUUAAUUAGGUGCCUGGAUCUCAUCAACCCAGAAUAUCCUUUGCCUCAUUUUAAUGCUAAAAUCUCCGCCCCAAGGGCAGGGCUUGUUUUGAGCAUGCAAAGUCUAUUCCAGCCUGUUAUCACACUGUUCAUCUAGAACAUCUCUGCAGGGAAGAUCAUACUUGCCCAUUUGAGAAUAUGCAUGUGCCCUUAGCUUAACACUGCCCUGAACUUGUUCAGAACAGUGCUUUGAGAACUCUCUCCCUGUCUCCUUACUUGUCACAAGUUAUAAAUUCUUCUGCUUUGUUGGAAAGUACUUGACACUUCAGUUGCUAUGCAGUCCAAGCAGUGGACCUAUUUGUUACGUUUAUUGAGGAAGGAACGCACAAGGUGGAGUCGGUAAAGCAAGAGAAAUAUAUUAAGGCAUCUGGAACAAAUGGGUUGAGCUCAAGAUGAUAUCAGCCCAGACUGUGAAGAGGAGUUCUGCUUAUAAGGGGCUGGUGGUGGGAAAAAUGUGACAGAAACAAUGUACCAAGGAGGGACGUAGCAAAGGAGUAAACGUCUCCUCUCUGUGUCUCAUGUCCAAAUAUGUGUUGCAGCCACCCUGCCAAGGGCAAGGAGUGACGCAAGCAGGCAGAGUAGUUAAGCCUUAGUAAUGCAUGCUUCACAAGCGACCUUCCAUAUGUCCUUGUCUGCGUUGCUCAACCGGAACAACCACAUCAGCCGUCCCCUUAGAACCUAUCGCUGUUGAGCCAGACAACAGCAUGAAAGCCCUCCAAAGGAAAAAUAAUAGGAGUUCCCACUGUGGCACAGUGGGUUAAUGAUCAGGCUCUUCUCUGGCAUUGCAGGUUCAUUCCCUGGCCCUGGUGCAAUGGGUUAAAGAUCCAAUUCCAGAGUUCCUGUUGUGGUGCAGCGGAAAUGAAUCCAACUAGUAUCCAUGAGGAUGAGGGUUUGAUCCCUG